ACAAAGAUUCUAGGGCAGUCUGACAUUUAGAUGUCAAACCCAGAAGAGAGGCAGGCAAGAGAGCAUGAAUAAGUGUGUGCUGUGAGGUAGAAUGAAAUUCAGAAGGAUGUGGCAUCAUAGAGGGAAUGGCUAAAAGCAGAGGAGACAGAGACCACAGCUGUUUGUAGAUGGGACACGCAUGUCCGAGAUAUUACUGAUUUUCUGGAGGAAGUCGCCAAAUGACUGAGAGAUAUUUUCAAAUUACUUUCUUUUAAUACAAAGAAAUUUUAUUGUUCAGGUUCACUUAACCUACCCUUAAAUCUCCUCAACCUUUAGGUAUUCGGCUGCAGCUGAUAGAUAUAACAAUAUAUGGUGUAAAUUAAUUGAGUUUUCAUCUAAAUCACCAGGCUCAAAUUCUUUGAAACAUCUACUCGCAGAUAAAAUCUAUGCAAAGUCUGUCAGCUGUCAGCUUUUUACUAUUCUUGUAUAGUUGGUUAACAACCGUGUUCCGAAGCUGAGUGAAAGCUGAAUUUGUCAGGCUUUUGUGAAACAAAGAACUCAAAUUCAGAAGCCUUACCAUGAGAAUAAAGCCACCUACAGGGAUGUUUUAUACGAGUUUGAUCUCAAAGAAAUGAGAUGGGGUGCUGAGAGAGGUGCCAAAGACAGCGUCUUCGGAGUAAGGAUUGGAAUGACUCUCUUUUUCCUUGUAGCUGAUGAAACUGAGUGGUUUGAAUGGUUUCCAGGUAACAACAGACAGAUGCUGACUCCAGAAUGAAUUGUACUACAGCACUUUCAUGGUAUGAUGCAUUCCUGGACUCCAUGCCCUUGUAAGACUUCAGCAUACAGGAAGAAAUUUCCCAUACAGCUGGCAAGCAGCCAACACAAAAAUAGGUCUUCUGGGACGCCCAAAUAAAGUCUCAGAAAGGAGCUAUUACUUUGUCUCAGGAAAUUCCAAAAGUAAAAGUACCUCUUUUUGCAUAUCUUUUUUUGUUGUGACAUUGUUGAGAAACUAGAUGUCAGCAAACUCUGGCUAUUGUGGUUACCUUAUUCUGGGUAAAAGUAUGUUUAUUCAAGACUGUAGAAUUCAUUACUUUCUAUCUGUUAAUAUUCAAAACAUACACGUAAUUCACAUCUUACUUAGCUCAAAUAUAACCAAAUUUUAAUGAUCUCCUUGUAAUAAAUGAUUAUUUUUAUCAGAUAAUCAAAUUGAGUGAAAUAUGAACUAUGUAACACCAAAGUCAAUCUUUUCUAAUGUAAAUUAUGUAUACUGAGCACUUCAACUCUCAAUUUGGAGAGUCUAAUGCCUGCUGAAAGGCAAAAGAAAUAAGGCUGAUUUUAUGCCUUCGAUCUAUUCCUUGUUUGUAAGAGAAAAGCAAAUAUAUAUUAUAAAGCAUCUAAAAACAUCUACCAAAACAAUUUGCCAUGAAAUCAAGAGUUCUGUGAUUAACUUUCAUACAAUUAAUGAGGCAGAGCCAUCUUUUCUGUCACAAAUCCCUUUUGACUUCAACAAAUGUACAAACUUCAACUUGGCCAAAAUAAACGGGUUUCAAAGUAUGCAAGAUGGCCCAACACUACCAAACAAAUAUUUGUAUCAAACUACUCAUUCAAUGAUAUGAAACUCAGUUCCAUGUAUUCACAUAUUAGUGUUUACUUGAACCAGUUGACAGAUGUAUUAGAAAGAGCACAGGCUUGAAAUUGAAAUUCCCGCUUUAAUUCUCAAAGCUCUGAACUCUUGCAAGUGUUUUAGUUGCUCUAAGUCUUAUUUACUUAGAAGAAAAUCUCAAUCUUAAAAUGCGAAUUGAUGUACGUGUUACAUGGCUAGCAUAACUGAGUAAUCCAUACAAGUUGAUUGGCACUCAAUAAGGAAUCAAUAAAUGCUGAUUCCCCUCCUUUCCUAAUGAGAAAUUCCUAAGUAGAAAUUAAAAGAAGCCUAUCUAAAACAAUGCCAUUUCCAGAAACAAAUGGAAAAUCUAGAAAUCCAAGACCAAAUUUGAUGGUAAAAAAAAAAAAAAAUCAAGGAAACAAGAUACGGAUAAAUAACAAGAUUUUUA